rnacentral:rRNA from 1 species
CAGCCGCCGCGGUAAUACGGAGGGCGCGAGCGUUACCCGGAUUUACUGGGCGUAAAGGGCGUGUAGGCGGCCUGGGGCGUCCCAUGUGAAAGGCCACGGCUCAACCGUGGAGGAGCGUGGGAUACGCUCAGGCUAGAGGGUGGGAGAGGGUGGUGGAAUUCCCGGAGUAGCGGUGAAAUGCGCAGAUACCGGGAGGAAUGCCGAUGGCGAAGGCAGCCACCUGGUCCACUUCUGACGCUGAGGCGCGAAAGCGUGGGGAGCAAACCGGAUUAGAUACCCGAGUAGUCCCUGUCUCUUAUAU